CAGCCGCCGCGGUAAAACGUAGGUGGCAAGCGUUGCCCGGAAUUAUUGGGCGUAAAGGGCUCGCAGGCGGUUUCUUAAGUCUGAUGUGAAAGCCCCCGGCUCAACCGGGGAGGGUCAUUGGAAACUGGGAAACUUGAGUGCAGAAGAGGAGAGUGGAAUUCCACGUGUAGCGGUGAAAUGCGUAGAGAUGUGGAGGAACACCAGUGGCGAAGGCGACCCUCUGGUCUGUAACUGACGCUGAGGAGCGAAAGCGUGGGGAGCGAACAGGAUUAGAUACCCCAGUAGUCCCUGUCUCUUAUAA
rnacentral:rRNA from 1 species